CGAGCGGUACAGGUGUAGCAAUACAUGCUGACGAGCGGCGGACGGGUGAGUAACGCUUGGGAAUCUGCCUGAUAGUGGGGGACAACCCGGGGAAACUCGGGCUAACACCGCAUACGCACUACGGUGGAAAGCCGGGGACCGCAAGGCCUGGCGCUAUCAGAUGAGCCCAAGUCGGAUUAGCUAGUUGGUAGGGUAACGGCCUACCAAGGCGACGAUCCGUAACUGGUCUGAGAGGACGACCAGUCACACCGGAACUGAGACACGGUCCGGACUCCUACGGGAGGCAGCAGUGGGGAAUAUUGGACAAUGGGCGAAAGCCUGAUCCAGCGACGCCGCGUGGGUGAAGAAGGCCUGCGGGUUGUAAAGCCCUUUCGGUGGGGAAGAAAAGCCUCGAGCUAAUACCUCGGGGUCUUGACGUAACCCAUAGAAGAAGCACCGGCUAACUCUGUGCCAGCAGCCGCGGUAAUACAGAGGGUGCGAGCGUUAAUCGGAAUUACUGGGCGUAAAGCGCGCGUAGGCGGCUCUGCAAGUUGGGUGUGAAAUCCCCAGGCUUAACCUGGGAACUGCAUUCGAGACUGCAUUGCUAGAGUAUGGGA
rnacentral:rRNA from 1 species